GCCUGGGUGGCUCAGUGGGUUGAGCGUCCGACUUCAGCUCAGGGCAUGAUCUCACGGUUCGUGGGUUCGAGCCCCACGUUGGGCC
rnacentral:tRNA from 1 species